GCGCAGAGUUACACGAAGCGCAGCGAGGAGAAAUGCACUCAUUUCGCUUCCCCUUAUGGAAAGAAGGCUGAUUGACCGGCUUUGGAAGUCGACUCCCUGCUGGUAAUGCAGAGAAAGAGGAGCAGAGGAGCAGCCAGGCAAGCAAAGACAGUCACACAGUUUCACACCAGAAGACAAGUGGGCCCUGACUGUGGCAUGUGGAAGAGAGAAACGUCCAUUUUAAUAUCCUGUCUGAACCGUACUGUCGCCGUCAGCCUCGCGUCUAUCAGUGGAUCUGGCUGGAUCUGGUGUAGGGAGGAUGCACCCGGAUAUCUGAUGUUCCCCUGGCUCUCUCUUUGCCUUCAACAUGGCAAGGACAUGCAGCAAAUUACUGUGGGAAGGAGAUGCAUUCCGAGUGGUUUGUGGGGAGUGUUUGGCAGUGAAAAGGGAAAAGUGCAACAUCAAGGUUAAAGAAAUAUAAGUAUUUUUUUCUUUUAAACCUUGAUAUUGCAUUUUUCCGUUUUCACUUUGAAAGUGAAUUGUCAUUUAAGUAGAUUUUUUUUUGAGUAUUUAAAAAUCAAGUUCAAUUUUCUAGUGGCACAUGAGGAACAGGCUAAUUUUAUACUUUGACAGCCCACACCACACGUUUUCCCCCCCCCC